GGCAAUAAAGUUAUGUCUUCAUUAGCUCCGUACAACUCAUCUACCUCACCUCAGAAGGCGGAAGAAGGUGGGCGACAGAGUGGGGAGUCGGUGUCGAGCGCAGCCCUGGGGACUCCCGAGCGGCGCAAGGGCAGCUUAGCGGAUGUGGUCGACACCUUGAAGCAGAGGAAGAUGGAGGAGCUGAUCAAGAACGAGCCGGAAGACACUCCCAGCAUUGAAAAGCUCCUCUCCAAGGACUGGAAAGACAAGCUCCUGGCAAUGGGAUCAGGGAACUUUGGAGAAAUCAAAGGGACUCCUGAGAGCCUCGCUGAGAAGGAGCGGCAGCUCAUGGGUAUGAUCAAUCAGCUGACCAGUCUACGGGAGCAACUCCUGGCUGCCCAUGAUGAGCAGAAGAAGUUGGCUGCGUCUCAGAUAGAGAAACAGCGCCAGCAGAUGGAGUUGGCCAAGCAGCAGCAGGAGCAGAUCGCAAGGCAACAGCAGCAGCUUCUGCAGCAACAACACAAAAUCAACUUGCUCCAGCAACAGAUCCAGAUGUGGUGUUGUCAUGAAUACCCAUGUCACACAGCCAGAAAAGGAGGAGGAAUGGGGCUGCAGUAAGGUAAAUCAAGAGAUAACAAUAAAAUUCUUCUCCUGCCUGGU
rnacentral:lncRNA from 1 species